rnacentral:lncRNA from 1 species
UUUGUCGAUUUCGCAUUGAAUUAUUAGACAAAAAAGCUACAAGUUUCGGAGAUCGGAAACUCUAACGUUUUCGAUUUCGAUUUCGUUUCCUGAAUCAACAUAUUGUUAAGAUCUUGAUGGAAAUGGCUUGUUGAGAAUACAAGUAAUGGACGGUUUAUCUUAUGUUUAAUGGCGCCGUAGUCCACUGGUAAGUUUAGUGGCGCCGCAGUUUG